CACUCUGGAAAUAAUCUGAAGAAUCGUUUUCUAGUGCAAUGAUAGCCAGAGUGGUGGUAUUCAUGUUAACAAUUGUACAAUCAAAACAUCAGUCGACUACUGAAGAUGCUGCACAUCCUUAGUUUAAAUACUCAGCCAAGGUCUAACUCUUUCCGUAAAAAUGAAAACAAAUACAUUUCAUUAUCAUGCAAA